GAUGAACGCUGGCGGCGUGCCUAAUACAUGCAAGUCGAGCGAACGGACGAGAAGCUUGCUUCUCUGAUGUUAGCGGCGGACGGGUGAGUAACACGUGUAUAACCUACCUAUAAGACUGGUAUAACUUCGGGAAACCGGAGCUAAUACCGGAUAAUAUUUUGAACCGCAUGGUUCAAAAGUGAAAGACGGUCUUUCUGUCACUUAUAGAUGGAUCCGCGCUGCAUUAGCUAGUUGGUAAGGUAACGGCUUACCAAGGCAACGAUGCAUAGCCGACCUGAGAGGGUGGUAGGCCACCCUGGAAGUGAGCCACCGUCCAGACUCCUAAGGGAGGCAGCAGUAGGGAAUCUUCCGCAAUGGGCGAAAGCAUGACGGAGCAACGCCGAGUGAGUGAUGACGGUGUUCGGAUCGUAAAAAUCUGUUAUUAGGGAAGAACAUAUGUGUAAGUAACUGUGCAGAUCUUGACGGUACCUAAUCAGAAAGCCACGGCUAACUACGUG
rnacentral:rRNA from 1 species